rnacentral:rRNA from 1 species
GCUAAGGCCCCAAAAUGACCGCUAAGUGGCAAAGGAGGUGAGAAUGCUAAGACAACCAGGAGGUUUGCUUAGAAGCAGCCAUCCUUUAAAGAGUGCGUAAUAGCUCACUGGUAAAGCGUUCUUGCGCCGAAAAUUUACGGGACUAAGCGGUCUGCCGAAGCUGUGAGAUUUUUUUUUUCUUUCCCAGACCACUACGUUUAUGAAAAGAAAAAUCGGUAGGGGAGCGUUCCGCUCUAGGGUGAAGUAAUAACGAAAGUUUUUAUGGACAAAGCGGAAGUGAGAAUGUCGGCUUGAGUAACGCAAACAUUGGUGAGAAUCCAAUGCCCCGAAAACCUAAGGGUUCCUCUACUAGGUUCGUCCAUGGAGGGUGAGUCAGGACCUAAGGCAAGGCCGAAAGGCGUAGUCGAUGGAAAACAGGUUAAUAUUCCUGUACUGAUUUUUGAUUGGUACCGAGGAACGAAAAAGGUCUAGGUUGACCAAUAUUGGAUUUUGGUGGAAAAGUUCAAGGUUGUAAAGGAUAGAAUAAAAACUAUUUUUGAUAUUUUUAAAAUAUCCAGCUGAGACUUGAUACGGUUUUAUUCCCUGGGCUGUUUCAUAACGGAACAGUCUAUAAUAAAACUCAACUGCGGAUCAAACUUCCUAGAAAAGCUCGCACUACUAUUAAAGUCAAAAUCACCUGUACCCGAAACCGACACAGGUAGGUGGGUAGAGUAUACCUAGGGGCGCGAGAUAACUCUCUCUAAGGAACUCGGCAAAUGGCCC